ACCUACGGGGGGCAGCAGUAGGGAAUAUUGCUCAAUGGGCGAAAGCCUGAAGCAGCAACGCCGCGUGUGCGAUGAAGGCCUUCGGGUCGUAAAGCACUUUUCUGAGAGAUGAGAAAGGACAGUAUCUCAGGAAUAAGUCUCGGCUAACUACGUGCCAGCAGCCGCGGUAAAACGUAGGAGGCAAGCGUUAUCCGGAUUCACUGGGCGUAAAGCGCGUGCAGGCGGUGCGGUAAGUUGGGCGUGAAAUCUCCCGGCUCAACUGGGAUAGGUCGUCCAAUACUACCGUACUUGAGAGCAGAAGAGGAAAAUGGAAUUCCCGGUGUAGUGGUGAAAUGCGUAGAUAUCGGGAGGAACACCAGUGGCGAAGGCGAUUUUCUGGUCUGUUUCUGACGCUCAGACGCGACAGCUAGGGUAGUAAACGGGAUUAGAUACCCCGGU
rnacentral:rRNA from 1 species